CUGGCAAUGGCCAGGAGUCGAGGCAGAAGGGAGAGGCCACACAUGGCCAAGGUCAGAACCAUGGCCCUCAGCGUGAAGAUAGAGGCUGAGGGCCUCUGUCGUGGCUCUCUGAGCUCUGACCACAAGGAAGCACUUUUGCAACGUAGGAAAAGAAGAAACCGGAUUGAUAAAGGAAGUGCUGGUAACUCUGGGUACGGGUGAGUUUGGGGAAGGCUCUCACCCUCCCUUGCUCCUCUGAAGAGGCCUGAUCCACGCUCUCCAGGUACCUCCUGACGCCCCACGGAGGCACCCCCUAGGGCCUCCCCUCUGGCCUUGGAAGAGCUGCUUGUCUUCUCCUCCCCUGGGAGGAGAGUGAGGCAAUGGGUCUGUCCCUGCUGCUGUCUCUGCUGCUGUUGCCGACAUGUCUGCAGCCUGGUAGGUCAGAAGAAUGUGAUUCAAAAUAUGACUAUGGGAUCGAGCAACCAGAUCACCUCUCAGCCCCCAUGGGUGGCUCCGUCCAUAUCCGUUUCUCCUUCUAUUACUGCUGGGAGUUGGCCAAGGAUCCCAGAGUGAGUAUAGCCUUGAGACGGGGACAGUUCUAUGGGCAGAUCAUCUACAACAGUACUCAGCGUUUCAUCCAUGAGGAUUACAAGAACCGCAUCUCCCUGAACUUGCCAACGGGUCAGAAGUCUGGCUCCCUGCGGAUAUCAAACCUGCGGAAGGAGGAUGAGAAUAUAUACUUUUGCCGGAUCCAGGUGAAAACACUAAGAAACGGCAUGCGGGUGUGGCAGUCCCUCCAGGGGACCAGGCUCACCGUCACCCACGCUGCCGAGAGGACCACUGAGGGCCCCACCACCACUGACCUCAGUGUCUUGGAAGGCACUGGGAGCUCAGCGUCUUCACCCCUGAGUGUGGGAGCUGUGGUCAUAGUGGCACUGGCUGGUGUUGUGAUCAAAACUGCAAUUUUGGGACUGAUACUCUACCUCUGGUGGAAGAGAAGCAAAGGUUGCCUCAUGAUCCAAGAUGGCUGCUCAGACUCCAGCCAUUAUUUCUGAAUCCAGGCAGGAAACAGGAGGAAGGAAGAAAGGACAAAAAGACCGCAAUUUCCCCCUUGAAUCGUAUUGGCGAGGAUGUAGUCAUGUGUCCCACAUCUAUCAGGAGGGGAGCACACUGCCACCCCAAAUAAAAUCAAGGUUCUGUAACUGAGUAAGAAGAAAUGGAUGGAUAUUGGGAUGAAGCCCAGAACAACAGCGGCAUCCUCUACGCCUCCCUCACUCUCUCCAGCUCAUCACUGGCAGCAUCUCCCUGCAUCCCUCCCAAGGAGAGGCCCCAGGAGGAGACCCUAUACUCUCUCAUAAAGGCCUGAUGAGUGGGACUGAAGGAUGACCUCCUUAGACUAAGCAGCCUGGUAGGUCACAGCUUCUGAUGACCCCAGCCAGACACAGAAGACUCAGAAGCCAAUGGGUGUGGAAGGCCACCAAGGACCACAGAAAAACAGAGCCAUCUGCUCCAACUCCCUCUCCGCCUUCCCAGCCCUUGCCCACAAGAAUGAAAGUUACCUAGAAUUUGUCCCAAGGCAUCUAAGGAGAAAACUGAUGGCACCUUCCACUUCUGUCUUUUCCUUCUCGCCAAAAAUGAACCAUAAUAAAGAGCUCACACCCGA